UACGUAGGGCGCAAGCGUUGUCCGGAAUUAUUGGGCGUAAAGAGCUCGUAGGCGGCUUGUCACGUCGGGUGUGAAAGCCCGGGGCUUAACCCCGGGUCUGCAUUCGAUACGGGCUGGCUAGAGUGUGGUAGGGGAGAUCGGAAUUUCUGGUGUAGCGGUGAAAUGCGCAGAUAUCAGGAGGAACACCGGUGGCGAAGGCGGAUCUCUGGGCCAUUACUGACGCUGAGGAGCGAAAGCGUGGGGAGCGAACAGG
rnacentral:rRNA from 1 species